rnacentral:rRNA from 1 species
CCCAUCACUUUAAGUGAGUAAGACCCCUGAGAGAUGAUCAGGUAGAUAGGUUGGGAGUGGAAGUACAGCGAUGUAUGGAGCGGACCAAUACUAAUCGGUCGAGGACUUAACCAAU